rnacentral:misc_RNA from 1 species
UUUAAUCGCUUUAUUCAUUUUUGUGAAUUUUUUUAGGUUCGGGAUUUGGUGGCUCAAUGUACCUGCCCCACUCAGUUCCCCAUGAUUCGCGUUUCGGAGGGAAAAUAUCGCAUCGGCGACACAAAAGUUCUUAUUUUUGUUCGAAUUCUAAGAAAUCACGUUAUGGUGCGAGUCGGGGGCGGAUGGGACACCCUGGCUCAUUAUUUAGAUAAACACGACCCCUGUAGGUGUCGCGCCCAACAUAGGCCCACCACGCAAAGCGCGAAAUUAAUUAAUAAACCCGGAACUAACGAUUUAGUGGGGGCGCAUGUUCAUUACGAGAGAAUCAACACACAAAAUCAAGAAACCCCCAAACAAUAUCUUAGCCUCCCGCAUUCAGACCGCGGCCGAUCAAGGUCCCCAUCUCAACCCUUAACCAGAAGAUCUUUAAGCCCCAACAUACAACGAAAACAACUUUCCGUCCCAAUAAGCCGAUCCAGGAGUCCAACCCCCAAUUUUGUAUCUCACACCAAAUGGACAAUGAAGAAUAAUCACGGCCCAUCGUCGUUACCUUAUAUUCCAAAUAACGAAAAACCUAACUUAAACGAAACCAAGUUAAACGAAACAAAAUUAAAUGAAUCAAAAACGAAUUUUAAUGAAACGAAAUCGCAAAACGGGAGUCCCAUCAAAUUGGCAAAACACGCGAACGCGAAAAACGCGUCAAAUAUCAUUUCGAGUCUCCAAAUUCCGGUUCAUUGUAAAACGGAGGCGAGCUUGCACGUCUCCGACCACAGCACGGACCAUAGUGAUAACACAUCCGAAGUUUCCGACGAGGGGUAUCGAAGUUUGGGGGUGGUGCAAGGCGAUAGGAGGAAUAGGAACUCGAUUUACAGCCAAAACUCGGCCGAGGAUGCAGAAUUAAGCGAGCAUCAAGAUAUCGACGACGUCGAUGACACGAACGAUAUUGGGCUGCGAAAAACUCACUUCUCCGAGAAGAUUUACAAGGAUAACCCGGAUGUGCCGAAAUUCGUCAAGCCGUUAACCACGAAUCACCAUCAAGUGGCGUCGCCGAAGAUGCCGGGGCGCUCUAAUUCAAUCGACGUUAUCGAGAUGACUAAAAUCCCGCCGGUUUCGCCGAGGAAGAUGUCUCAAAAGAAUUCAAGCGGAACUGGGAGCUUGAAUGGGCGCCAAAAGCAAUCUCGGCCUAGUUUGACGAGCGAAACUUUUACCUCGCCGUUUUCGAGGGCUUCCCCGGCGAGGAGGAGCAUCGCGACAUCUUCCCCGGUUAGGAAGAUACAAUCGGCGAAUACCAGCCCGACCAAAUUGAAUCUACGUCAAGAAUUGAUCAACGCAGCGAAGCAUUCGAACGAUGAGACGAGCAUGGUUGAGGAGGUUCAUAAGUUGUUGAAGCAAUACGUUAGUCAGAAUUCGUUGAAUGAGUUCAAUGAUGAUGUUGUUAAGAGGAGUACAAGGAAAGAUUCGAGGCCGAAUUUGCAAACUUCUAGAAUCCCCGCUCCCGUUUCAAGUAAAAUGAUUUAAAUUAAAAAGGUGCAAAUUUUUUUAAUAAGAAGGUGCUUACUUUUUAGGAGAAUAUAUCUAUACUUGUUAAUUUCUUUUUUAAGUUUAGCAACAAAAAAAAAUUAGUUUUUAUGGAACUAACAAGUUACCCAAUCUUAAUUAAUUAAUUUAAUUCUUUAAUUUAAUUUUUUAUUAAAAUAACAGCUCAAUAUAUUAAAUCACGAUAUAUCUAAAGUACAUAUUUUAAAUGGAUAGAGUUUUUAGCGAGUAUUUUUCUAAGACGUGAAAAUCAAAAAGAUAUUUUGAGGGGAAAUUAUAAUACGUUAAAUUAAAUCAAAUUAAUAACAUUCCAUCUCAUUUUAUUUAAAAAAUAAGGAAAUAAAAGACAUUUAUCAUGGAGUUUUUUUGUUGAAUUUAUCGUUAAGCUUCGUUGUUGUAUCAAAAUCUUUUUUAAUUAAAUAAACACCUCUAUUUAUAUCAUUAACAAUAAAAAAAAGAUUUAUUUAUGUUUAAACGCUUUCAGUUAUAAAUUUUCUUUUAAAAUCGUACUCCACGGAGAUUUCGCAACAACACAAAUAGCAAUAAGAACAAUUUGGGGCGAAAUAAGUGCACCUCAAAGCGGGAAGAUUCGGUUUACACCAAGAUUUCUACAACAAAUAAUUAAUUAAUUAAACAUUUUAUAAUAAUAAUAAUAGUAACAUCUUACUUUAUUAAUUUGAAAUUUGCAACAAGAACAGGAUGAAAUUGAAACGCAAAAGUGACAUUUAAAAUUGGAUUCUUUUGGUUUACACAGUUGGCAUUUAAAUGGGUUCGAUUUAACGCAAAAUCGUAAAUAUAACACUAAAAUUAAAAUCGGAUUAAUUGAAUUGAUUAAAAUUGCGAUCUUACCGAAUAAAAUUGCUAAAAUGUAAGCUAAAAUUCCGAUUAAAACCCAAAUUUCGAUCCCGAAUUGUUUAAAAUCGAUCAUAAUUGAUUUAAUCGAAAUCUGUCAUUUGUCACUUUGUUUUGUAUUUAUAGGUUAUGUUAUUUUAUUCGUUUCUUUUGUGUCUUAUUUUAAUUAAAUCGAGUGAAUAUUAAACGAAAUGCUUUAAAAACGCAAAAUAAUCUUUAAAUGGAUUGAUGUUGCUGGGGUUGCAAAGAGACGGUUUCUUUGCGAUUUAUCCUACGAUUAAGGAAAAGAUGUAAUAGAAGAAGAAGCUGCUGUAUACCAUAAAAACAUGGAAUACCAAAAAAAUGCUAUUUGUACUUCUUUUGUAAAGUUGAUCUAUAUUUAAAAUAAAUUAUUAUUAAACCUA